CAGCCGCCGCGGUAAUACGGAGGGAGCUAGCGUUGUUCGGAAUUACUGGGCGCAAAGCGCGCGUAGGCGGUUACUCAAGUCAGAGGUGAAAGCCCGGGGCUCAACCCCGGAACUGCCUUUGAAACUAGGUGACUAGAAUCUUGGAGAGGUCAGUGGAAUUCCGAGUGUAGAGGUGAAAUUCGUAGAUAUUCGGAAGAACACCAGUGGCGAAGGCGACUGACUGGACAAGUAUUGACGCUGAGGUGCGAAAGCGUGGGGAGCAAACAGGAUUAGAUACCCCUGUAGUCCCUGUCUCUUAUAA
rnacentral:rRNA from 1 species